GUCUAGGACCUCUGGGUGGUCGCGCUGAUCCCGGACGAGCCCCCAAAUGAAAGACCCCCGAAGGGUCAAGCCUCAGGACAGCCGCGGACCCAAGAAGACACUGAGACCG
rnacentral:pre_miRNA from 7 species